UAUUUGAAAAGGUUCACACGGUUCACAGAGUUGCACAAUCAUACUAUGCAUUAGUCGACGGACUAUAGAUUCACUCACACGUGCAUCAUAAAAAUUAUCAAAAACAAUAAUAUUUUUAUCAACCAUCAAAAAAUAUAGAUCAUCAAUAAGAAAAAUAGGACGGGCAAGCACGUUUCGAUCUAAGUGUUUUACAAAAACUAAAUCAUCAACACGAUCUUUGUCACUAUCCGAGGAGUACAAAAAUGUUUCAAAAGUUUCAAGCAUCUUACCUUCAUAUGCAGAAGAAUAAGGGUCGAUUUUACCUUUUCCAUUUAAUACAAACCUUCUCUCCUUGGGAAUGUAGUCUAGUCGAAGCUUCAUGGUUGAAUUAACCUUGUCGAAAUGAAAUACGAACUUUAGGUACAACCACAGAAAUGGAUUAAGGAAUGAAUUUAAAUUGAAAUCAAAUUUAUCAUACCUCGUUUCCUUAUUCAACAACCAAGUAUCAAAACAAUAGAAAUUGUUCGCACAUAAUCGAUGAUGCUUGAUUUUCCCACAAAAUGUACCAAAAUAGAUUCCGGGUUUAAAAACUUGAUUUUGAUUAUUCAUGCCAAAGUGUAGCAAAGAGUUCAUUAAACAAAACUUGUCAACCCAAAAGGAUUUCUGUGUCCACAGAAACAAAUGUUCAAAUCUCUUUACUUCUUUCAAACUAAAUUUGCAAAAACUCGAGGAUUUCAAACAAAGUAGUAAAGGACUCACAUAAUCACCACAAUUAAUUAAAUUGAGAUGUUUAUAUGAAAAUUCAUUGUUACGCAGAAUCGAGUUUCGCAAUUACCGAUUAAACAUGACUUCACCUUUAAACUUGUCAACGCAAAGAUUUGUUUUGGAAAAGCUCGUCUCACCACCAUUUGAGAUUACAACACUAAUCGAUGAAGGAAAAUCAACCACUUUUUGGCACGGAGCUUUUACAAAGAUGAAGUUUUUGAUAUUAUAUCUACCCACAUUCAAGGAAGAUAGUGGAAAUUCAAGUGCUAGGUGUUCCUUACCUAUCUUACCUUCGGGCUCGUGUGGUUCGAUUUCAAUUUCAUCCUUACCUUUUUCAGUCAUGCAAAAAUGUCGCUCGUCAAGAAGAUAUUGAAGUUGAUAAUCGUCAUAGGGAUUUCUCGGAACCUGAAAAGAAGGAACAGAACAAAACCAAACAUUACGGGGGUUAGUUAAAAUUUUGUUCUCUUUUUCGUGUUCUCGCUCACUAUCUUCAUUUUCUCUCGUUUCUUUUUCAACAUAUUUUUCUUUUUCAAUUUUUUUCUCAAUCUCAAUUGCUUUUUCAAUUUUCUUUUCUUUGUUUCCUUUUUCUUUUUCUUCCUCUUCAUUUUUAUUACAAUGUGUGAUGAUGAUACAAAAGAAUAAAAAAGAUAGUCGUUUGGCUCAAAGCAAGAGAAACUAUUUUUGUAGUCUUCUCGUCCAUUUCUUAGGGAACAAUCCUUCGGGAAGGACUUCUUUGAAGCAUACGAGAAAUAACUUGUGCUUUCUCAUUCGUCAUAUCGAGAAGUCGCAAGCUCAAAGAUUUCUUUUCUUUUUCUCAAAUUCCUUGACGAGUAGGAAUCCCGAUAAGAAUUUCUUAGUGAGCAAUCUUUGGAUAUGCAUCACCAUGAUGAUCUCAACUCCAUUUCUCGACUCAGUAGAGUUUGCUUCUAUUGGGGUUUUUCCUCCACUCGGUCUAAAUGUCUUUUUAAUAGACCUAGCUUCCUUUCAAGCAUUCGGCCCAUCUCGUUCACCAAAUACUGAAAUUCAUCAGCUGAAAAGGUUUCUCGAGACAUGAUUAAGUAAUGACAAGAAAAGUGUUAAAUAAAAUAAAGAAAAUAAAUACCUUACCACAAACCUCACAAGUUCGCUCACAAAGAAAAAAAAUUCACUCACUCUCGUGUUUCAACUCUCUUUUAGGCUUUUGCUUGCUCUAAUGUACUCACCACUCGUGCCUUUUUCCGUUCAUCUCACUCUCGUGAAUUCGUAUUUUGUUUCAAAAAGACUUAUUGCGGCUUAAAGGGUCGGCUUCAAAUGGGUGCAAAGGAUAAUGUCAGGGUGUAUAGGGUAGGCUGAAACAAGGAAAAUAAAAAUCAAAGUAUGUGUGGCAUUUUUUUCUUUUCUUUUUGGGGGUAGAAGCGAUGGUAGAAUGAACGGAUGAUCGAAAAUAAUAAGAGAUGAAAACAAAAUAAAACUCGCAAGACUUUUCACUUCUUUCUUUUUUUAUACUUUUCAUUUUUUUUGAAUUUUCGUAAUUUUUUUCUUUUAACACUUCAAAUACAAUAUAUUGAAUUCAAGAAGAAUAAAAUAUAACUUGAUUUUUUUGAUGAUUUUUUUUUAUUUUUUCAUGUUACGAACCUACUCCGAGCUUGAUACGAACGUCAGUGCUCCACGUUUUAGUAGCUCUGAUACCAAAUGAUGCGAAUCAGCCCGGUUUGAUCGAGUCAUUUCACAUAGUUGCCCGAUCAUCGACGAGGAGUAUCGUACCAAAGGAAUAGUUUGUUUGUAAUUAGCCAAAAUAUGAAGUAAAGUGAUGGUGAUACGGGGUUGCGCGUGGACCAAGAUCGAGUUGCCAAGUCACGAGAAACUCCUAUGAAAGCUCUAGACAAAUCAGAUCUGAAAUCAAAACAAAGAACAAGAUUAAACUAAUCAAUCUAAAAUUAAAUCCCCAAAUUCAAUUAAAGGAGCAGCAAGAAACAAAGAAAUAGAAUAGAUGAAUCAAACGAAAUUGGAAGUAUAGAAAGAUUGCGAAUCAGUCAACAAAUUGAUUCGGCCAAGAAUGGCCAUUUUCCAGCAAUCAAUUGAUUCCCAAAUUGAAAGAAAAUCCAAUCGGCCAAACCCUAGGAAUUGGGGAUUUUUGGGUUCGAAUGGGUGCUGCCAAUAGGAGAACAACUUAAAUGAUGAGAUCUUGAGUUUAAUCAAUGUUGGAAAACAAACAAGAACAGCAAAAUAUUAGAUGAGAAAUUGGCACAAGUAUAAGCAAAGAAAAGUAAAGAAAGAAAUCGAAAAUAGCAAGAAUUAAAGGAUAAGUCCUAAAGAUCCUUGAAAUCCCGAAAGAUUUCACAAAUCUCUUCAAACGGCUCUUCAAACGGCACAAGUAUAAGCAAAGAAAAGUAAAGAAAGAUUUUCUUGCUGUUCGUUCUUCUUUAUUAAUUUUUGCUUGUGCUGAUUUAUUGAUUAACUUGGGAUUAAUUGUUCUUGUUGCGUUUCAGCCAUUCCAAACUUCAAGAUCUGAUUCGGCUUCGUUCUUAGGCAUCAAGAAACGUUCUUCAUUCAUAAUUUCCAGAUUUCUUGCCGCCCAAGUAUUUCUUAUUCUAUUCGAUUUGGGUUUCUUGAUUUGACAAGUUUAGUUCUCUAUUUUCUGUUUUCGUUGCAGCCAAUUUGUUUAUAGAUCUCAUAGGACUUUCCCGUGACUUGACGACUCAAUCUUGGUCCACGCGCAAUCCCCUAUCAGUAGCUCAAUUUCAUUUCGUGGAGCUCCAUUUAGCUCAUUUCCAGCUCCUUCAAGCUCAAUUAGCUCAAACUUAGCUCAAGGAUCUCACUUUUAAUUUUCAUUAAAUUUGCUGGAAUAAAUAAUUUCAGUUGCUGAUUAGUUAAAUAAAUUAAUUAGCUUAAGAUUAAUUAAUUUAAUAAAAUUUGGACAUUUUAAUUAAGUGUUUUAAUUAUGUCUGAAUUCAUUAAUGUGUCUAAUUUUAUUACAUGCUUUAAUUGUGUCCUAAGGGCUGCCGAAUUUAAUGUGCAGGAAUUUUGUGUUAUUUGCUGCCAAUUUAAUGUGUCUAAAAAUGCAUCUAAAUUAUUGAAUGUAUUUGUUGCAGUACAUGCAAUGGAUGGCACAUACGUGUUUGGAGAUUAAUUUGGGAUGAUGUUUGAAGUUUCCUAUGUGACUAUUCAGCCAAAAGGGAUGUUGAUUUAUUUUCCCAAGCUGUCUAUUUGACUGAACAAUUCUUUUCACAUUGCUGGAAGCUUUUGGCUGUUCGAUUUAGAGUGUUCACACAUUGGGGACUCUUCAAGACAGAGUGUUCACACCUUCAUGGUUGUUCAACUCAGCUUAUUAAUAGUCUUGACUUGUGGAGUGCCCAAAACAACCCAUCAAAGACCAUGAACAUUCAGCUGAACAUGCAGCUCAUUUUAAAGCACAUUUAUGCUGGUUGCUGCCCAAAUUGAAUGCUUCUCAAACUCCAACCAGGCCAUUCAUUUUUUCUAGCUAAAUUAAGCCUUUUAGAAGAUCUAUUGACGUUCUCAAUGUAUGGGGAAGCUUCAAGGAAACUUCCUUCAAAAUUCUAGAAUUUUCAAGACCUUUACUUAGCUCUUAAGACUGCCUAUUCGGUUGCCAUGUAAAGCCUAUAAAUUCAGGCUGAAAUUACAUUGUAAAAAAACUUUUGAACCUUAAUGAAUUACUGUCAAUUUGUUGAGAGAAUUCUUCUCUUGAAUUUCGUCCAAAAACAUCGUUGACUUAUCUAACUAGUUAGUGGCGUCAACCCAUUUUUGUUCAAUCGAACUUAUCACGAAAUCGUGUGGCAUUCAUCCUAAAUUAUACCAAGGUUCCUAUCUAUUUAGAUAGUGGGUCGAGGUUUCCCUAUCCAUCUCCUAAACAACUUUAGAACUUAUAAGUUUCGAGUCAACCUUCAAUCGAAGUGUUGGUUCACUCUUGUUCUAAGUUUUUCAUCUUAAUUCCUUAUUCAACGAUUACCUUUCUUCUUUUAAGCCUAUCCUUGACACCCUUAAACUACAUUUAGCCUAAUAUCGAACUUCAUUCCAUCUCAAAUGAUUCUUAUUUGUUUUAACGAUCAGGCAACUAUAUGACUCAGAUUAAUCAACGAGGCCGGGGUGUAUCAUUUGGUAUUAGAGCUAUUUAAAAUGAGAAGAGCGAAUGUUCUAGAAGAGUCAGAGUAAGUAGAUUUGUAAAAAAAUCGUAUAUUAAAAAAAAGGUUGUAUUUAUUUUUAUUUGUAAAUUAGCAUAUUGUAUUGUAGUUUAUAAAAAAAAGAAAAUUCAAAAAAAAUUUUGUUGCAAGUGGUAAAUACUUCUUUUGGUCAUUCCCGAUCAACGAUUUCUUAUUCCCAACACCAUCCACUUUCACGCCACACUUGAUAACCUAAUAUCGUUCUUUUAGCCCACCUACAUCCCUUAUACAGUUACCUUUGCAAACCUCUUGAAACCGACCCUUAAACUAGAAGAUCUAGUCUUACGAAGUUUUAUACGAAAUCACAAGAGAAGAUACAAGAGGAAAAAACACGUGAGUGAGUGUGCACAAUAGAGUGGAGGUAAAAGCCAUUAAAAAGUGUAAACACGAGUGGAGUGUCGAAUUAUUUUCUUUUUUGAGUGAAUUGUGAGUUUUUGUUGUGAGGUUAUAAUUUCAUAUGUCAAGAAGCCCUACGAGAAUCAUGGCGGAAAGGCAACCUAUUCGGAAUGUGCCGAACUUGAAUUUGCAAGCAUUACUACGCGAGGUGGAACGAUUGUUCGAUCAAAAGUUGGAACCGAUUCAAGAUAGACUUGAUCGUGUGGAAGGAAGAGCCUGAUACGAGUCACAAAGGCCCAAUUCAAGCUCAGGAACGUGAUGGGCUCAAAUGACCACAAGGCCCAAUAACGAGGUCAAAGGCCAGACAAAUGCGUUCAAAACCAAAUGGAACCAUUCAAGAAUUUAUUAGAAAGGCCUUAGAUGCGUACACGAAGGAAAAAGAAAAUCAAGAAACCGAAUCUUGGUCCAAUUUUGCUGUUUGGAGUGAUUUCAAGAAUCAAGAAAAUCAAGAUUUCAAAUCUUGAAAAUCUUGGUCCAAGAAACCGAAUCUUGCAACUAAGGCACAUUGGAUCUCUGUUACGAGCAUCAACGAACCAAUUUCGGUAGGAAACGGACUACAAGCCCAAGUUCUUGAAGGCAAGGCCCAACAAGAUGUUCCAAGCCCAAUCCAGAAAGUUAAAUGAGACUUAGUUGAAAAUCAGGCCAAAUUAUCAAAGUAGCCCAAUUUGUAAAAUUUUAAUUCAUUAAAUACUUAGUUUCAUUUUUAGACUUUAUAAAUUAAUUGCUAUGUAAAUAUUCAGUCCAAGAGGCCCAAUUAAAAGCCCUUGGCCGAAUUUCCCUUUAAAAUCAAAUAAUUAGGAGUUUUUUUAGUUUUAGUUUUCUAAUAGGGUUAGGAAAAUAAUAGAAGCCUAUAUAUAUGUAAGGCUUGUCCGGCCAUACACAUCACAAUACACUUGAAAUCAGAUUUUGAUUGCUUGCAAAUUCUCUUGAGUUUUUCUCCAAGAAUUUUCUUUUGAGUUUUCUUUAGAAGUAGUUUUAACAAUCUUUUAGAUUGUGGGAGCCAUCUUCAGCCUUCUUCAUGCCAUUGUUCUUCAUUGGAGGGGAGAUUAGAGCCGUUUGAAGGGGGUUGUCAAAUCUUUAUUGAUUUCAAGGCUUCUUAGGACUUUAUCUUUAUUUUCUUGUUGUUCAAUCUCUUUUUAAUUUCUGCUUGUGUCAAUUUCAUUAUCUAACUUGUUUAAGUUCUCUUAUUGCGUUUCCAGCCCCGUUCAACCUUCAAGAAUUUGAUCGGCACCACCCCUGGACAUCAAGAAACAUUUUGAUUCUCCAAACCCAUCUUUCUUGCCGUCCAAACCCUUCUUUUAUUAUUUUGAUUAUUUUAAUUUCAGAUGUAAUUGAUUCUACAUUGGUGAUACGAACUCGUUUCGUGAAUUGAAUCGAGUCGUUAGUGUCGCCCGAUCGUGAAUUGAGUAGAAUAGAAUCACUUUGGUUUAAAAGAAACAAAAUAGAGUUAAUGGCUUCAAACAAAGGUAAUGAAUAAAAUAGGAAGGAAACAAUAACAAAUUAAUUGGCUAAGACCAAAGAUGAACCAGCAAUAACGAGUUAUUGACCCGAAUCUCAAAAUGGUCUUUAGGUGUUUUUCGGUUAAAGGAAACAGCAAAGGAACCUUGACCCACUAUCAACUAUGAUAGGAACCAAAGGUAUAUUGAACGCCACACCAAAGGUGAUAAGUUCAGCAACACAGAAAAGAUGGACGCCACAAGCUAUGCUUGAUAAGUCAAAUCAAUUCCGUAAGAACAAAGAGAAUUGGAUAGCUCAAAAUUCAAAUAUUUCAUCUAUAUUCAGCAAAAAGUUCUUCUUUCUCUAUGGCUGAUUACAUCUAUUUAUACUGCUAAAACAAGGUAACCGAAUGGUCAAAAAACAUCCACUUAAUGUGCCAUAAAAAACUGAUGUCUUUUCUUAUUCUUUGAACCAAAUAACUCCUUCCAUAAAAUCACCUUAAUUCAGCUGAUUUGAAUGUCUUUAAUGGCUUAGAAAAUGACUCUUGAGUUGUCCUUGGCUAGUUGAAAAGACACCAUCUCUUAACCAGCUCCUUAAUGACAUUCAAAGGCUUGAUUAAUUUCUCUUGAAAGCUCUAAAAACGGCUGGAAGUGGAAGAGUUGCUGUCAAAUUUAAAGGGCAUAAAAUUCUCUUUAAAAACUUCUUUAAUGAUUUUUAAGCUCCCUUUAUAACAUCACCUUUAAUUGUAACUCAAAAGAACUUGAACAGCCACUUAAUUAAAUGUGUAACAGCCUUGAAUUGUAACCACUAUAAGCUAAAAAGUCACCUGCAAUAAACACAUUGAAAUGAGUUUAUUAAACAAAUGAAAACACUUAUGAAUCAUAACAAACAUUAAACUUACUUAAAUAAAUGAACUAAAACAUAUAUGCAAUAAUUAUUCCAGCAACUAGUUUAAUUAAAGAAGCAUAAUUUAAAGAACUUAAUUUAUGCAUCAAUAAAUAAUCCUAGGAACUAGAUCAAUUAAGAAGCAUCUUUAUUUAAUAAAGUUCAAUAACUAACUCAUUUAUUAAAAAUUAAGAUAAGUUAAAUUAAUUGAUCAGCUACUCAUUUAUUAAACUAAAACAAGUUAAUUAAAAGAAAAAAAUUCAGCUUGCAACAAAUUGCAAGUAACGCUUUUUGAACGGUUCGAAGCAAGACUAUCGAAUUCGGCCACUUGCUCUUCCCAAGCUCGUUCCACAUAGCUUGCUAUUGCAUUUCGAAAUCUCUUAGCUCGUGAUCUAGUUAUUGGUCCUCGUGGUAGCUCAAUGGAUUCAGUAGUAAUUUCCCUGGCUAAGGUUGUAUCAAUUGGUCUUGCUGUUUCGUUUCAGAUUUUAUUGUUCUUGUUCGUUUUGACCAUUACCAAAGUUCAAGAUCUAUCUUUUCUCCACAUUUGACAUCAAGAACCAUUCGUUAAUCAUAUUUUUUUCAGAUUUCUUGCCGCCCAAGUACUCUAUUUCCUAUUCUGAUUUGGUUUCUUAAUCACUUGAGUUUAACUUGCUGUAUCGUUUUCUCCAGGUCAUAUUCGGCUUGGAGAGUCAUUCUUGCUAUUUAGAUCUCAUUUCUUGGCCUCUAAGGAACCAUAUUAAUUCGUGUUCUGAUUAUUAGCUAAUUAUCCAUGGUUUUAGGGUUUUCGUUUUAGAUCUGAUACUGAUAAGUUUGAUUUUUUUGUUUUGUUUCAAAUCCGAUUGUCUAAAGAUUUCUAGGAGUUUUCUCGUGGCUUGGCAACUCAAUCUUGGUCCGUGCGCAACCCUCUAUCAUUUGGUAUCAGAUUUUGGGCGUUUUGGGCGUUUUGGGCGUUUUGUAAAAAAAAUUAUUUGAGUAGGUAAAAAUGGUUCGAUUGGUCUGAUAUUUUAUAUGCAUAUUUUUGGCACUGUGAUAGAUUAUUAAAAAAUAUUUCCCACAAAAAAAAUCAGUAGAAAAAGUCAAAAAAAUUGAAAAAGACGAAAUCAAGAAAAAAAAUUAAAAAAUAUACAGUAGGUUGAGUUUAGUUACAAAAAUUUCCAGAUCAAAUAUACAAUAUUUAAGGACAUUUGAUACGGGGUUGCGCGCGGACCAAGAUCGAGUUGCCAAGUCACGAGAAACUCCUACGAAAACCCUAAACAAUUAGAUCUGAAACGAAACAGAAAAUUAAAAGAUUAGAUUUUUGAAUUUUCAGAUCUGAAAUAAAAUCCCCAAAACAGUAAAGAAUCAAAUAGAGAAUAGAAAUAAGUGUUAAUAAGGAAUCUUGAAACCCUAGAAGAGAAUGCGAUUCUGCCCAAUUGAACACCAAGAUAGUUUUCCCCAAAUUUCGACAAUCUAAUUUCACCCAAAAAGAGUAUGGAAAAACCCUAGAAAUUGGGGAUUUUUGGGCUGAUUCCUUAAGAUAGAAAAAGGCUGAAAACACAAUAAGAACAGAAAAUAGAUUAGAUAAUGAUUCAGCACAAGUAGAAAUAAAGAAAGAAUUGACAGUAAGAAAUUAAAAGAUAAGUCCUAAGAAGCCUUGAAAUCUCGAAAGAUCUCACAACUCCCUUCAAACGGCUCUAAUCUCCCCUCCAAAGAAUAUCAAUGGCAAGAAGAAGGUUGAAGAUGGCUCCCACAAUCACAAGAUUGUUAAAACAACUUCUAAAGAAAACUCAAGAGAGAAAUCUUGGAGAAAACUCAAAGAAAAUUCUACUCUCAACAAAUCUGAAAUUUUAAUAAUAAUGAUAAGUGUUUAACAAGGUGGACAGCCAUGCCUUUAAAUAGGCCUUAUAACUAGUCCUAAUCUAAUUAGAAAACUAAAAUAAAAAAAACUCCUAAUUAUUUUAAUAUGGAAAUUCGGUCAAAGGUCAUUUUAUCUGGGACUCUUGGACUGAAUAUUGACAUAAAAAUUUAAACUAAGUAAAUAAAUAAAUAAAUAAAUAAAAAUAAAACUUUACAACUUGGGCCACUUUGACAAUUUGGCCUGAUUUUCAACUAAGUAUGGAUGGAUUUCUUGAUUGGGCUGGGAAUUUGCUUAUUGGGCCUCGCCUUCAAGAAUUUGGGCUUUUGUGACUCGUAUCAUUCCCCCCUUCCUCAAAAAGAUUCGUCCUCGAAUCUGAAAAAUCAAAUGAACUCGACUUUCCUCUAUUGAACGGGACUAAUGGCAAUUGAGUCCACUGAAAAGAAUAGCCAUGAGAUAGUAAAUAGCAACAGAAACAAGCUUGUAGUCCAAUCAUAAGCAUAAUAGAACAAGUAUAAUGCAUGUGAAUGGACAGAUUCAGAUUACCAUGCAAACAAUCUAAUUUACUCACCACUGCCUCGUCAAAUAUUUGAAACAAAGAUGGACAUGUUUUAAGGCAUUCAGUCGUCUCACAUUGUUCCCACAAACCAUGAAUAAAUUGUGAGUAAUAAAUCAAAUGGUAAACAUAAUCAUCACAAGUAGGUAUUUGAAAAGAUUCACAUGGUUCACAGAGUUGCAUAAUCAUACCAUGCAUUAAUCGACGGUCUAUAGAUUCACUCACACAUGCAUUAUCAAAAACAAGAAUCUUUUUAUCAACCAUCAAAACAGAUAGAUCAUCAAUAAAUAAAAUAGGACAGUCAAGCACGUUUCGAUCUAAGUGUUCAUCAACACGAUCUUUAUCACUAUCCGAGGAGUACAAAAGUGUUUCAAAGGUUUCAAGCAUCUUACCUCGAUAAGCAGAAGAAUAAGGGUCGAUUUUACCUUUUUCAUUUAAAACAAACCUUCGCUCAUCGGGGGCAUAGUGUAGUCGAAUCUCCGUUGUUGAGUUAACCUUUGUCAAAUGGAACUCAAACUUCAUGAACAACCACAUAAACUGUUUAAGGCACGAAUAUAAAUUGAAAACAAAUUUGGAAAAUUUCGUUACCUUAUUCUCCAAAAUAGAUUUGGACAAAUUCAAGGAUUUUACACAAGGUAAAUCAAGAGAAUAACAAAUCACGCUUCUUUCCGUAAUGACUUUAUCAACCACAAUCGAAGAGUAACAAUUAAUCGGAUCAAAAUGAGGGGAUCUUUUAAGAACUAAGUCACCAAAAGUUUUAUCAAUAAUUUUCAAAUCUGCACUGGACUCGGUUUCUAAAAUUUCCUUACCUCGCUUACCUUCGGGAUCAUGUAGUGUGAUUUCAUCUUUACUUAAGUUGAUCGUAUGAAAGCGUCUUUCAUUUGAGAGGUAUUGAAGUUGAAAGUUAUCUUUCGAUCUUUCGGGAACCUGAAAAGUAGCAACACAAGAAAAAUUCAUAUCUUGGUUAGUGGAAACAUUCCUCACUACCCUUUCCACGUCUUUUUCUUUUGUUUCUUUUUCUAAUUCUUUUUCUCUUCUUUCUUCAAUUUCUUUUUCACUCUCAAUCUCUUUUUGCUCUUUUUCAUUCUCUUUUUCUUUUUCCUCACUUGUUUUAACAGAAUUUUUCAGUUUGAUUUGGUCCUCAUGGACUUGUUCCAGAGUGAGCGGCACUAAGGUGAGUUUCUUUCCUUGAUGCUUGAAGAAUACCUAUUGGUACGACCAUCGUGAGUGACUUUUCGAUCCAGUUGCCAUGGUUCUCCUAGCAACAAAUGGCAGGCUUGAAUAGGCAUUACGUCGCACACAACUUCGUCUUGAUACUUACCGAUAGAAAAGGCGAUGCGCACUUGUUGAGUGACCCUAAAUUGGCCUUCGUUGCUAAGCCCUUGUAGUUGAUAAGGUUGUGGAUGCUUGGUAGUGGUUAAGCAAAGCUUUUCCACCAUCGUCGUGCUGGCUAUGUUCGAGCAACUUUCACCAUCAAUAAUAACUCUACAAAGCUUACCUUGUACGUGGCAGCGAGUAUGAAAGAGAUGUUCUCGUUGCUGCUCGCUCUUUGGUUUUGCCAAAUAUGAUUGUCCAUGAUCAUGACAAUCAUCAUCCAUUCUAGGGACACGUUGAGGGUUGUACCUAUGGGACUGGUUAUCCCUAUCUUCCUUAAUUGGAUCUCGAUAUUGAUGUUUUUGAUUCACUCGUACCUCAUUCAAAGUAGUAUUCAAUUCUUGAAGUGUAGCAUUUAUUUGUGUGAUUGCAGCAGUAUGUCUGUCUAACUAUUGUUGGACUUUCAUAAGUGCAUCAUUAUUAUCACCUUUAGACAUCUUCAAAACCUGUAAAAAAUAAACACUCAACACUCAAAAAUGAAAGUUAGCAAACCUCACCAUUAAUCACUCAAAAAGAAAAAUCAAAUUCUCAAUGAGGUCGAAUUCAAUCUUGUGAGUUCUUUAUUAGAGUUUAUAUCAACCAAUUAGAGAGUGUGAACCAAACUACCAAAGAAUCCUAAUUUGCACUAGGAUGCCAAAAACUGACGAGACACCAAGUGAUUCGUGUUGCACCGAGGAAGGAUUGUGCACACGUUUAAAUCCUACUAACACAAGAAACAAGAAGGUGUUAGAUAUUUUAAAAGGAUAAUAAAAAGCAAACAAAUGAAAACCUACAGCUAAGAAUCAAUAAAAAUUGUUGAAAACAGAAAACCCGAAAGACUGCGGAGUAACUUGACAACUUCGUUCGAGGUGUUCCCGAUCUCUAAAUUUCACGAAAUUAAAUCUGGAGUGUCCUUAUAUAUUGAAUUUUUGAUUUAAAAAUUUUUGAAACCAAAUUCAACCCGCUGCACCUUUUAUUAAAUUUUUAUUGAAUUUCGUCUUUUUUUGAUUUUUUGACUUUUUUGACUGAUUUUUUUUCGGGAAUAAUUUUUUUAUAUUCAAUCACAGUGCCAAAAACAUGUAUGUAAAAUUUCAGAUCAAUCGGAUAACGUUUACCUACUCAAAUGAAUUUUUUUAACAAUUUUUCUGGGUAAAACUGCUGUUUAUGCUUUAAAAAAUAGAGAUCAGUUUAGAAAUCAACCAAGAACACCCAAAACGCCCAAAAUCUGAUACCAAAUGAUACGGGGUUGCGCGCAGACCAAGAUCGAGUUGCCAAGUCACGGGAAACUCCUACGAAAACCCUAAACAAUUAGAUCUGAAACGAAACAAAAAAUUAAAAGAUUAGAUUUUUAAAUUUUCAGAUCUGAAAUAAAAUCCCCAAAACAGUAAAGAAUCAAAUAGAGAAUAGAAAUAAGUGUUAAUAAGGAAUCUUGAAACCCUAAAAGAGAUUGCGAUUCUGCCCAAUUGAACACCCAGAUAGUUUUCCCCAAAUUUCGACAAUCUAAUUUCACCCAAAAAGAGUAUGGAAAAACCCUAGAAAUUGGGAAUUUUUGGGCUGAUUCCUUAAGAUAGAAAAAGGCUGAAAACACAAUAAGAACAGAAAAUAGAUUAGAUAAUGAUUCAGCACAAGUAGAAAUAAAGAAAGAAUUGACAGUAAGAAAUUAAAAGAUAAGUCCUAAGAAGCCUUGAAAUCUCGAAAGAUCUCACAACUCCCUUCAAACGGCUCUAAUCUCCCCUCCAAAGAAUAUCAAUGGCAAGAAGAAGGUUGAAGAUGGCUCCCACAAUCACAAGAUUGUUAAAAUAACUUCUAAAGAAAACUCAAGAGAGAAAUCUUGGAGAAAACUCAAAGAAAAUUUUGCUCUCAACAAAUCUGAAAUUUUAAUAAUAAUGAUAAGUGUUUAACAAGGUGGACAGCCAUGCCUUUAAAUAGGCCUUAUAACUAGUCUAAUCUAAUUAGAAAACUAAAAUAAAAAAAACUCCUAAUUAUUUUAAUAUGGAAAUUCCGUCAAAGGUCAUUUUAUCUGGGACUCUUGGACUGAAUAUUGACAUAAAAAUUUAAACUAAGUAAAUAAAUAAAUAAAUAAAUAAAAAUAAAACUUUACAACUUGGGCCACUUUGACAAUUUGGCCUGAUUUUCAACUAAGUAUGGAUGGAUUUCUUGAUUGGGCUGGGAAUUUGCUUAUUGGGCCUCGCCUUCAAGAAUUUGGGCUUUUGUGACUCGUAUCAACAUUCUAGUUUAAAUUUCAUGAUUUUUGGAGAUCAGGAACACCUCGAACGAAGUUUUCGGGUUUUAGCAAUUUUUAUUGAUUCUUAGCUGUAGGUUUUCAUUUGUUUUGCCUUUAUUCUUCCUUUACACUAUCUAACACCUUCUUGUUUCUUGUGUUAGUAGGAUUUAAAAGUGUGCACAAUUAUUCCUCGGUGCGACACAAAUCAAUUGGUGUCUCGUCACUUUUUUAGACUCCUAGUGCAAUUUGGAUUAUUUGGUAGUUACGGUUCAUACACUUUCUAAUUGAUUGAUAUAGACUCUACUAAAGAACUCACAAGACUGAAUUCUACCUCUUUGAGAAUUUGAUUUUCCUUUUUGAAUGAUUAACGGUAAGGUUUGUUAAUGUUUUUUUUGAGUGUUGAGUGUUUGUUUUUCAACGAAGAAGAACUCCCUUAAGCCCUCCGAGAAAUCGAGGAUGGCAAUCUGAUUUAGAUGAUGAAUCUUCCGAGCCGAUUAAACACGAAAGUGAUAAAGGGUCCAAUGCGAAUGUCCAACGGAGAGGCCUACGCAACCGAGGCCAACGAAACCGAGAGAGGUUUGAUGAUGACUUGAAAAGCAUUAAGUUGUCAACCCUUCAUUCCAAGGCCGAUCGGAUCUCGAAGCUUAUCUCGAGUGGGAGAAAAAGAUCGAGCUCAUAUUUGAAUGCCAUAACUAUUCUGAGGCCAAGAAAGUUAAGUUGGUUGCUUUCGAGUUUUCUGACUACGCAAUGGUUUGAUACUAGUUACAAAGGCCCAACCUAAGCUCAAGAACGUGAUGGGCUCAAAUUACCACAAGGCCUAAUAACGAGGUCAAAGGCCAGACAAAUGAGUUCCAAACUAAAUGGACCAUUCAGGAAUUUGUUAGCAAGGCCUUAGAUACGUACACGAAAGAAAGAGAAAAUCAAGAUUCACUUUCUUGUUUUCAAGAAAAUCAAGAAACCGAAUCUUGGCCCAAUUUUGUUGUUUGCAGCGAUUUCAAGAAUCAAGAAAAUCAAUGAUACGGGGUUGCGUGCGGACCAAGAUCGAGUUGCCAAGUCACAAGAAACUCCUACGAAAACCCUAAACAAUUAGAUCUGAAACGAAACAGAAAAUUAAAAGAUUAGAUUUUUGAAUUUUCAGAUCUAAAAUAAAAUCCCCAAAUCAGCAAAGAAUCAAAUUGAGAAUAGAAAUAAGUGUUAGGGUUCUUGAAACCCUCAAGGAGAUUGUGAUUCUGCCCAAUUGAACACCAAGAUAGUUUUCCCCAAAUUUCGACAAUCUAAUUUCACCCAAAAAGAGUAUGGAAAAACCCUAGAAAUUGGGGAUUUUUGGGCUGAUUCCUUAAGAUAGAAAAAGGCUGAAAACACAAUAAGAACAGAAAAUAGAUUAGAUAAUGAUUCAGCACAAGUAGAAAUAAAGAAAGAAUUGACAGUAAGAAAUUAAAAGAUAAGUCCUAAGAAGCCUUGAAAUCUCGAAAGAUCUCACAACUCCCUUCAAACGGCUCUAAUCUCCCCUCCAAAUAAUAUCAAUGGCAAGAAGAAGGUUGAAGAUGGCUCCCAGAAUCCCAAGAUUGUUAAAACAAAUUCUAAAGAAAACUCAAGAGAAAAAUCUUGGAGAAAACUCAAAGAAAAUUCUGCUCUCAACAAAUCUGAAAUUUUAAUAAUAAUGAUAAGUGUUUAACAAGGUGGACAGCCAUGCCUUUAAAUAGGCCUUGUAACUAGUCCUAAUCUAAUUAGAAAACUAAAAUAAAAAAAACUCCUAAUUAUUUUAAUAUGGAAAUUUGGUCAAAGGUCAUUUUAUCUAGGACUCUUGGACUGAAUAUUGACAUAAAAAUUUAAACUAAGUAAAUAAAUAAAUAAAUAAAAAUAAAAAUAAAACUUUACAACUUGGGCCACUUUGACAAUUUGGCCUGAUUUUCAACUAAGUAUGGAUGGAUUUCUUGAUUGGGCUGGGAAUUUGCUUAUUGGGCCUCGCCUUCAAGAAUUUGGACUUUUGUGACUCGUAUCAUUCCCCCUUCCUCAAAAAGAUUCGUCCUCGAAUCUGAAAAAUCAAAUGAACUCGACUUUCCUCUAUCGAACGAGACUAAUGGCAAUUGAGUCCACUGAGAAGAAUAGCCAUGAGAUAGUAAAUAGCAACGGAAAUAAGCUUGUAGUCCAAUCAUAAGCAUAAUAAAACAGGUAUAACGCAUGUGAAUGGACAGAUUCAGAUUACCAUGCAAACAAUCUAAUUUACUCACCACUGCCUCGUCAAAUAUUUGAAACAAAGAUGGACAUAUUUUAAGGCAUUCAGUCGUCUCACAUUGUUCCCACAAACCAUGAAUAAAUUGGGAGUAAUAAAUCAAAUGGUAAACAUAAUCAUCACAAGUAGGUAUUUGAAAAGAUUCACAUGGUUCACAGAGUUGCAUAAUCAUACCAUGCAUUAAUCGACGGUCUAUAGAUUCACUCACACAUGCAUUAUCAAAAACAAGAAUCUUUUUAUCAACCAUCAAAACAGAUAGAUCAUCAAUAAAUAAAAUAGGACAGUCAAGCACGUUUCGAUCUAAGUGUUCAUCAACACGAUCUUUAUCACUAUCCGAGGAGUACAAAAGUGUUUCAAAGGUUUCAAGCAUCUUACCUCGAUAAGCAGAAGAAUAAGGGUCGAUUUUACCUUUUUCAUUUAAAACAAACCUUCGCUCAUCGGGGGCAUAGUGUAGUCGAAUCUUCGUUGUUGAGUUAACGUUUGUCAAAUGGAACUCAAACUUCAUGUACAACCACAUAAACUGUUU
rnacentral:lncRNA from 1 species